ACGCUGUAAACGAUGUCGACUUGGAGGUUGUGCCCUUGAGGCGUGGCUUCCGGAGCUAACGCGUUAAGUCGACCGCCUGGGGAGUACGGCCGCAAGGUUAAAACUCAAAUGAAUUGACGGGGGCCCGCACAAGCGGUGGAGCAUGUGGUUUAAUUCGAUGCAACGCGAAGAACCUUACCUACUCUUGACAUCCAGAGAAUUCGCUAGAGAUAGCUUAGUGCCUUCGGGAACUCUGAGACAGGUGCUGCAUGGCUGUCGUCAGCUCGUGUUGUGAAAUGUUGGGUUAAGUCCCGCAACGAGCGCAACCCUUAUCCUUUGUUGCCAGCACGUAAUGGUGGGAACUCAAAGGAGACUGCCGGUGAUAAACCGGAGGAAGGUGGGGAUGACGUCAAGUCAUCAUGGCCCUUACGAGUAGGGCUACACACGUGCUACAAUGGCAUAUACAAAGAGAAGCAAACUCGCGAGAGCAAGCGGACCUCAUAAAGUAUGUCGUAGUCCGGAUUGGAGUCUGCAACUCGACUCCAUGAAGUCGGAAUCGCUAGUAAUCGUAGAUCAGAAUGCUACGGUGAAUACGUUCCCGGGCCUUGUACACACCGCCCGUCACACCAUGGGAGUGGGUUGCAAAAGAAGUAGGUA
rnacentral:rRNA from 1 species